GAUGAAGAACGUAGCGAAAUGCGAUAAGUAAUGUGAAUUGCAGAACUCAGUGAAUCAUCGAAUCUUUGAACGCACCUUGCGCCCUUUGGCCAUUCCGAAGGGCAUGCCUGUUUGAGUAUCAUGAACACCUCAACUCCUCAUGGUCUUCUAUGAUGAGCUUGGACUUUGGGGGCUUGCUGGCCCAUUUGGUCAGCUCCUCUCAAAUGAAUCAGCCUACCAGUGUUUGGUGGCACCACAGGUGUGAUAACAAUCUACGCUUGAGGUUUUCCACCAGGCAACCUUCAGUAAUUGGGGUUCACUGGGGCUCACAAAUGUCUUUCUUCAGUGAGGACAGCUCUUUGAAUGUUUGAUCUCAAAUCAGGUAGGACUACCCGCUGAACUUAAGCAUAUCAAUAAGCGGAGGA
rnacentral:misc_RNA from 1 species